UUGACCCGCCGGAGACAUUGCUAUCUGGGUUCUAUUAACCCAUGCGAGCUGAGAGGUGAAAGACCUCGGCGAACUGCUGUGUAAUGAGCAGUCAACCUGCCCUCAAGUGGAGGAUAAUCACGGGAAACUGUGGCUAACACUCCAUAGGUAUCGCUAACUGGAAGGUGGUGAUACCCAAAGCUUUUGCGCUUGAGGAUGGGACUGUUCGUCAUUAGGCUGUUGUUGGUGCAAAGAACCAAUAAACCGAUAAUGGCUAGGGGCUAUGGGAGUAGGAGCCCCCAGAUGGAUUCUGAGACAUGAAUCCAGGUACUACGGUAUGCAGCAGGGGAGAAACCUUUGCAAUCGGUAUACGCCGGACAAGGGAACCUGGAGUGUUCUUGCUUUGCAAGAACUUUUGUCAACUGAAAACAGGUUGGAGAAUAAGGACUGGGUAAGACGGGUGCCAGCCACCGCGGUAAUACCCGCAGUCCAAGUGAUGGUCACGAUUAUUGGGUCUAAAGCGUCCGUAGCCGGUUUGACAAGUUCCUAGUGAAAUCCCACAGCAAACUGUGGGGCUUGCUGGGAAUACUGUCAGACUUGAGACUGGGAGAGGGCAGAGGUACCUUCGGGGUACGGGUUAAUCCUG
rnacentral:rRNA from 1 species